AACCUUUUGUAGUUCAUAAGUAUGAUGAUUGGGUGUUCAUGCUGUCGUGUGACAUGUGCCACUCUUAAACCUUCAUAUGAUGUUAGCACAUUAACCGCCUGAUG
ensembl:snoRNA